rnacentral:lncRNA from 1 species
AUCUCCCAUGCAUCUUGCCACCAUGCAUGCACGACCAUAUAUAUGUAGCAAGGGCAAGCUCAUCUAUCGGGAUGCCACAGAGGUGGUUCCACCAAGAUCAAUCAGUGGAGUACAUGGGGCGACUAGGGUGUGGUGGAUUAUAGGUACUAUACGGUUUUUUUGUUGAAAAUAUCACUCCAACAUAUCCUCCCUUGAUUAUUGCCUAAGAAUCGGAGUUCCCUUUCCCAUGAAAGUCGUUCAGAAUAAGUCUAAUGGUUAAUCUGUUCUCAGAAAAAAGUAGUUUGUUUUCUGUCACUAGCAAAUAAAUUGUAUCACUGCGGAGUCUUAAUAUUUGUUUUCAGUUU